CGCACUCGCCCCUCCCCCGCGGCCAGCUCCUACCGCCUCGCCUCUCUCUCUCUCCCUCCAAACCCUAGAACCUCACCCGCACCUCCCAGCCCCGCCGCCGUCCAGGUCCAGCCCCAUGCCGCCGUCGUCUUCUCGCCCAGCCGGCCGCCGCCGCACCGCACGCUCGUGCGCAGGGGUGAGAAGGGGAACCACCGCUCGCUCCUGAAGCGCGAGGAGGACGUGGUGAUGCAGCGCCCAGAUCCACGGCGGCAUCGACGCGCCGUCGUCGACCUGAGCCGCCACCGUCCUCGAGGUCGGCCAUGGAGGGGGGUCCGACCCAGCUGCAGCCGUGGACGGAGACACCCCAAACCCUAGCAUGGGGACCGAGCCGCCAUGGAAGGAGGCCAGCGGCGAGGACGACGCCAUGGUCCCUGCUGUGCUCCCGGAUCCGUCGCCCAUCUGCCCCGACCUGGCCCUUCUCCUUCCCGCCGGCCAAGCGGAGCCGCUCGUGUCGCUGCUCUACCUGACGAGGGCAUUGUGCAGGGGAGGUACCGGCGACGACGUCGAUAAGGCAGCGGGAGGUUGCCCUCCAGUAGAGGAGCGGGAAGCCUCACUGUGACACGCCUCCUUCUCCACCAACCCAUGUUUGAGCAUUUGUUGAGGGACUACAUGAGGAGGUGACGAGGUACACAGGCAAUUGGAUCAAUACUGCAUGAGUGUGUAUGUAUUGGGUGGAGUGAGGAGCCUAGCCAAUUUAGUACUGUUGGUCCUUCUGGUGUGAUUAUUGGCUGGAUUUUUUGCAUCUGAGAUUAUACGAAAAUGGACAUAUCCAUGGAAAUCUUCCUCCUAUUGCAGUUGCCUGUCAUUGUGAAGAUAUUUGCAAGCAAGAUGACCACCCUUUCUCUUGGAUCACCUCCUAGCCGCCGGCAUCUUCGCCGCAAGUUGCUUGGUUUGCUGCCCACUACAACGCGAUUGGCAACCCGCUAUUGCUUACAUGUCUGCUCGGAAGAGAGAGGGGGAAACCUUAAGGGCAUCUCAGAUGAGUAGGAUUCAUAGUCAAAUGUAUGCUGGACUGAUAUUUGUGUUUCUCAUAUUUUGGAUAAAACCAUCGGUAUGAUCUUAUCUACCAUCAGUUUGGGUUUCUAUUUUCUCUACUAAUUAGGUUGGAUCUACAAGUCUGUGUAUUGCAUUCUAAUAAGUUCAGAUUUCCUUGGGUUACAACAAAUCACUAAUUAUGGACGCUUAAACAGGAUGAAACAAGACUUUUGUUAUCUAAGGCUCAAGCUCAAUGAAGCAUUUGACACAAUCGACACGGCAGCUGGGUCCUCACCUGUCUCCACCCCCUAUCAUGUACUAACCAUUCUCAAUCUGUCUUGAUUAAGAUUGUGUGCUAGCUUCGUAUCAUGUACCUACUCUGUAGUUUUCUUUAUGCAAGUUCUGUAGCAGAUGGCAAGUACCACUCUGGAUUUCAGGAAAAAUGAUGAGAACAUGGAUGGAUCGUUUGUUUAUACUCCCUCCGUCUGGAAAUACUUGUCAUCAAAAUGAAUAAAAGGGGAUGUAUCUAGAUAUAUUUUAGUUCUAGAUACAUUCCUUUUUGUCCAUUUUGAUGACAAGUAUUUUCGGACGGAGGGAGUAUAUACCUAUUCUACUAUUUUCUUUAUCAAGCAUGUAAAUUUAAAGCACUGGUUUCAUAUGUCCUUUAUGAUUAUUCCUUGAAAUGAUAUAAGAGAUUCUGUUGGUGCUCUAUUAGCAUGAUUGUUGUGUGGGUUUCUGUUA